GACGAACGCUGGCGGCGUGCUUAACACAUGCAAGUCGAACGGAAAGGCCCUGCUUUUGUGGGGUGCUCGAGUGGCGAACGGGUGAGUAACACGUGAGUAACCUGCCCUUGACUUUGGGAUAACUUCAGGAAACUGGGGCUAAUACCGGAUAGGAGCUCCUGCUGCAUGGUGGGGGUUGGAAAGUUUCGGCGGUUGGGGAUGGACUCGCGGCUUAUCAGCUUGUUGGUGGGGUAGUGGCUUACCAAGGCUUUGGCGGGUAGCCGGCCUGAGAGGGUGACCGGCCACAUUGGGACUGAGAUACGGCCCAGACUCCUACGGGAGGCAGCAGUGGGGAAUAUUGCACAAUGGGCGGAAGCCUGAUGCAGCAACGCCGCGUGCGGGAUGACGGCCUUCGGGUUGUAAACCGCUUUCGCCUGUGACGAAGCGUGAGUGACGGUAAUGGGUAAAGAAGCACCGGCUAACUACGU
rnacentral:rRNA from 1 species